CAAUAGCGUAUAUUAUUGAUGUUGCAGUUGAAACGUUCGUAGUCGAAUCUUAUCUGCCAAAGCAUUGUGUCAUUUAUGAUGACAUAAUGCUCUCGGCAGAGAUUGUACAAGCGUUUGCAUGUUCUGACCUUGUAUCUUACUUUGAGUGAAUCGGCGUGUUCCACGCAGGCAUGUGCCUUGAACGAUUUACCAUAGCAUAAUCAGAGUAUGGAACUGCUUCCUUGUUUGUUCGGAAGCUCUUUCGAUACUGAUAGGAACGGUUGAGGGCAUUCGUAUUCGACUGCUAGAGGUGAAAUUCUUUGAUUAGUCGAGGACGAACCAUUGCGAAAGCAUCCGCCAAGGACGUUUNCUUUG
rnacentral:rRNA from 1 species